rnacentral:rRNA from 1 species
GACGAACGCUGGCGGCGUGCUUAACACAUGCAAGUCGAACGGAAAGGCCCUGCUUUUGUGGGGUGCUCGAGUGGCGAACGGGUGAGUAACACGUGAGUAACCUGCCCUUGACUUUGGGAUAACUUCAGGAAACUGGGGCUAAUACCGGAUAGGAGCUCCUGCUGCAUGGUGGGGGUUGGAAAGUUUCGGCGGUUGGGGAUGGACUCGCGGCUUAUCAGCUUGUUGGUGGGGUAGUGGCUUACCAAGGCUUUGACGGGUAGCCGGCCUGAGAGGGUGACCGGCGACAUUGGGACUGAGAGACGGAGCAGACUCCUACGGGAGGCAGAAGUGGGGAAUCUUGCACAAUGGGCGGACGCCUGAUGCAGAAACGCCGCGUGCGGGAUGACGGCCUUCGGGUUGUAAACCGCUUUCGCCUGUGACGAAGCGUGCGUGACGGUAAUGGGUAAAGAAGCACCGGCUAACUACGUG